rnacentral:rRNA from 1 species
GUGCCAGCCGCCGCGGUAAGACGAACCGUGCGAACGUUGUUCGGAAUCACUGGGCUUAAAGGGCGCGUAGGCGGUCUGCCAAGUCCGGGGUGAAAGCCCCCAGCUCAACUGGGGAAGUGCCUCGGAUACUGGCGGACUUGAGGGAGGCAGGGGUUGUGGGAACUUCCGGUGGAGCGGUGAAAUGCGUUGAUAUCGGAAGGAACGCCGGUGGCGAAAGCGCACAACUGGUCCUCUUCUGACGCUGAGGCGCGAAAGCCAGGGGAGCAAACGGGAUUAGAUACCCCGGUAGUCC